AACUCAUGGUGAGGGCAUCGUCUCAAUAAGUCCUUAUACCCUUCCCAUGCAUCAUAUAGGGUCUCUAAGUCGAUCUGAAAGAAGUAAGAGAUAUCAUUCCUUAACCU
rfam:Gossypium raimondii Chr03_contig_714, whole genome shotgun sequence.